rnacentral:rRNA from 1 species
AACGAACGCUGGCGGCGUGCCUAACACAUGCAAGUCGAACGAGAAAGUCCUCGCAAGGGGAUGAGUAAAGUGGCGAACGGGUGAGUAACGCGUAGGUAAUCUGCCCUUCGGUCCGGGAUAACUCCGCGAAAGCGGGGCUAAUACCGAAUGAUAUCCUGAAAGCGCAUGCUUUUUGGAUCAAAGAUGGCCUCUGAUUCAAGCUGUCACUGAAGGAUGAGCCUGCGUCUGAUUAGCUUGUUGGUAGGGUAAAGGCCUACCAAGGCGAUGAUCAGUAGCCGACCUGAGAGGGUGAUCGGCCACACUGGAACUGAGACACGGUCCAGACUCCUACGGGAGGCUG